UACGUAGGGGGCAAGCGUUGUCCGGAUUUAUUGGGCGUAAAGAGCGUGUAGGCGGCCAUACAGGUCCGUUGUGAAAACUCGAGGCUCAACCUCGAGACGUCGAUGGAAACCGUAUGGCUAGAGUCCGGAAGAGGAGAGUGGAAUUCCUGGUGUAGCGGUGAAAUGCGCAGAUAUCAGGAAGAACACCCGUGGCGAAGGCGGCUCUCUGGAACGGUACUGACGCUGAGACGCGAAAGCGUGGGGAGCGAACAGG
rnacentral:rRNA from 1 species